AUUGAACGCUGGCGGCAUGCCUUACACAUGCAAGUCGAACGGUAACAGGUCUUCGGAUGCUGACGAGUGGCGAACGGGUGAGUAAUACAUCGGAACGUGCCCGAUCGUGGGGGAUAACGCAGCGAAAGCUGUGCUAAUACCGCAUACGAUCUACGGAUGAAAGCGGGGGAUCGCAAGACCUCGCGCGGACGGAGCGGCCGAUGGCAGAUUAGGUAGUUGGUGGGGUAAAGGCUCACCAAGCCUGCGAUCUGUAGCUGGUCUGAGAGGACGACCAGCCACACUGGGACCGAGACACGGCCCAGACUCCUACGGGAGGCAGCAGGGGGGAAUUUUGGACAAUGGGCGCAAGCCUGAUCCAGCCAUGCCGCGUGCAGGAUGAAGGCCUUCGGGUUGUAAACUGCUUUUGUACGGAACGAAAAGGUUCUUUCUAAUAAAGAGAGCUCAUGACGGUACCGUAAGAAUAAGCACCGGCUAACUACGUGCCAGCCGCCGCCGUAACAC
rnacentral:rRNA from 1 species